ensembl:lncRNA
AAAAAAAAAAAUCUUUCCACACCCUCCAGGCUGCAGGACUACUCACUCUUUCCAGGGACUGAACUUCUGAUCCUUCCACAUUCCCAACCACGGAGGUCCAUCCAGAUCCCCUUGCCACACCAAGAGAGCGUUACAAGCUCAGUCAGUGUAAUAACCCAUUUCUACGUGUAACACUAUUUCAAACCCUACAUCCAUUACUGUGUCUUCAAAUGAAUAUAAGGAUAGAUUUGACUCACUUUGCAAAAUCUGACUCAUGCCUCUUGAGUAUGGAAAAAAACAGUUUGCAGUUAAGUCCUGUAGGCUCUAACCUCUUGAAUCUCAAUGCACAUUUAUUUAAUUAACAGCCACAUUAUCAGUCCUCCAGUUCCCCAUGCGUCUUGAAUACUGGAAGAGAAGCUGGGAGAAAACAUUAAGCACAGAGGGAGUUGAAACAGCUACCUUUUACUGGGAGAGGAGUACCAGGCAUACAUGCUUUUUUAGGAAGAUGGUAAAUGUGUUAAAAACAUAAUUAAGAUGUAUAUUUCAUUUUGCUAGAGAUAAGUUUUACUCUCCAAGUCUAAAGGUAGGCAAUCAGACUAAGGAAUCAAGUCAAUAUUAGAUGUUUGCUUAGCCAGUUCAGCUUCUAGAUUCAAAGGCUACGCUUUCCCUAUUAAGCAGGUUUCACAAGAUUAUACCUCCUUUGAUUUCUAUGGAAUGACUUAACUAUUGUGACCCUGGAUGGGCUACAGUGAAGUCACUCUAUACAUACAAAAGAAGGCCCAAAUCUGUACAAACUGAUUACACGACAGCAAAGUUCCCUUCUUUCUUCUUUCUAAUGGUGUUCUUGGUUAUUUUUGUGUUUUCCCUCUGAAGGGAUUUAUGCAUACAGCUUUCACACAGUGACUGUGCAAACACUGAAGCUCCAACAGCCAACAAUUAAAAACACAAAGUUGCCUGCAUUUUCAGAUGUAUCCAGCCAUUAAGGAAUUACGUUUAGGACCAGUUCAUUUGAAAUGAUACAAUUUGUAAUGCUUCAUAAAUAACAAAUUCAUCCCCAGGACAUACUCAAAAGCCACUAGGUUAGUUUCUCCCAAGAACCAAUGCUGCACUCAUGUUUCCUCCGAAGGCAGCAACUACUUAAGCAACUGAGUUAUGACACUACUUGAAAUUAUUUACAUUGAACUGCUGAACUGGUGAUUCAACGUAAGCUCACAACUUCAAAAUGCAAAGAAUCUCCUAAGGAGGGGAAUUCAUUUAUUUAAAAAAACUAGAAAUAGAGUGAAGAUGAGUUAGAUCUGUCUUAAGUGCUAGACACCUAGUUCAGUCGUGCCAGUGGAUUUGAAGAAUGUUGGAUGAGAUGUUACAGAAGUCCAGUAAAUGCCAGCGUCAUUUGAUAACAUGGCUAUAUCUUGAGAAUCUGAUUCUGAUGCUUCUUACCACUUCCAUGCCCAAAGAGAGGAAGCGUUCUCAAAAGACAACUCCUGGAUCCUUGCAACACACAGAACACUUGUUAUCAGCCAAAAUCCUUUAUUAGCGCCCUUGCUUACCUAGAGGGGGUUACUGAGGACAUACAACUUGUCAGGAGCACACAGCCAAAUGGCAAAAAGCCACAGUUGCAAGCUGCAGCGAGGUGAAUUCUGAUUAGACGUAAGGAAAAAAUUGUUCAGUGUGAAAAUGAGCAAACUGUAGAAGAAGAGGCUAGAAAGGCUACCAGCUCUCAGUUCUUGGGGAUUUUCAAUUAGUAAAAGCAUUGAGCAGCUUCAUCUAGUUUCAUGCGCAGCCUUACUUUGAGCAGGAGAUUGAUGACCUGAAGAGUCAAGUGCGAUUUAUUUAUAUGGUUUAAAAAGACAACACAAACUGCUUCAAAUAUGUGCACCAUGCUGCCAAGCUCUAUUUGCAGGACUUCUGUGAAAUGAGAGCACAGUAAUGUCCUGACAAAGCACAAGCUGUAUUAAUGUAGUGCACUUCCACACUGCUCUCCAGGCUAAACUGGCCUCCCCUGAGCUGGGCUCCCCAUUGACCACUCCUAGUUUAGCACCUGGCCCCACCAAAAGAUGCAUGAACUGUGUCCUGCAGGGCCUAGAUUUCACCAGCAAAAACUAUUACAAGAAAAUAUGAAACAUUUAGCACCAAUUUUGUCAGUUACUGUCAUGAGAGACAUAGACAGGGAACAUAAGGUCUGGUAGCUCACCUAUCUAUACUGAUAUGCAUCGAGUGCUCUUUCACACCAGUUGAAGGAGAACAUCCUUCCAUGUGGAUUUCCUUGUGAGAAGAGAGUUCAUGUUUCUGUGGAAGACAGACUCUGACAGCAACAAAAAUUAGCCAACGAUUUCCCAGAAGUAACUAGUUAAAACUGCAACUACAGAACUGCACAAAGUAACAUCCCAACAUAACAACCUUUACACUGCAAAACAUGGAUCGCAUGGAAAUGUGCCGAUUCCAUCAAAAUGCUCUUUGAAAGGCAACAAGUCCGUCCAGCUUCCUGCUCGGCUGCCUGCCAGUCCUGGGGUGGGUAGUCCAAGCUCACCAAUUCAAAACACAAAAAUCGGAUACAAGACUCCCACAGGAUGGGAAUUCUGCUUCCUGUAGCUCUCUAAUUAAAAUAAAUUCCUUAUAGAUAUGUAUUUCAGGAAAGACGAGGAUGGCUCUGGAUUCAAAGAGCAGGAAUGGCUUCUCAAAAGCAGAAAGUGGUCAAGAAAAUUUGUUGUUUCCACAGUCAUGCAUUUCUAGCAUCACAGAAGGAAGAUGAGAUAUCUCUGUCCAAAUAUGCAUGAGGGAAGACAACAGCAAGGAAAUCUGGACAGCAAUAGGACCAAUCAGAUAGAAGGAAUCCUUGUCUCAUCUCUUCUGCAUUAUGUAUACAUUAAUUAAAAAAAAAGGGGUAAUUUCUGCUGCUCAGGCUUCCCUGCUCUGUCCCUUCUCCUACCGGUGAGUGAAGCUCUUGCAGCCUCUCCUUCCCUCUCCAAGGUAUUUUUUUCUGCCCUUACAUUGUUUGAUUUUUUUUUUUUUUAGCUGUGCCUUCUUUGGAUUUUCAACAUCCCCUAGAAAUUUUGAUUUCACAUCAUAUUUGUAUGUUUAACAAGAAUAAUUCCAAACUCCAAAAACAAACUGUGCCCUGACUGGCGUUACAUAGCAUUUGUGAUAAUUGGAUUCUCAGAAAGCCAAGCACUUUCUGAGAUUUAAUGAGAUUCAAACUUUAAUUACUACGUCCCUUUCUCAGGCAUGCAGUGGAAGCAUGGAGGGAAAUGACCAUAAUCAGGUCUUCAGCAUGUUGCAAGAGGCGGCCUCAAUAGAUAGCACUUUGAUCCCUUAAUGAGGGGGCAUUCUUGCCAUGCACAGUUGGAAAGCCAGUUUCUCUUGCACCAUGGCCUACAUUUACAUGCUUAGGAUUUCAGCCACAAACCAAUGCUCUCCCCUCGCAGAAGACUUCGGUGGUAGAAAGCCAGCAGAGAUGGCUCCUGGAACUACCACACUGCAGGACAAGAGAGGGAGACAAGAAUGUCCUGAGGGUUGGAGUGGACUUUAAGGUCUUGAUGAUGAGUGGUGACACAGAGUGAUCCCUGGACAGGGUCAAGGGGCCCUGCAGGACCAGCGUGAGCUUAAAGCCCCUUGCAUGGCUCUUCUCUUGCUCGCCACAAAUACCAGGCAGAUUUUGCCCGUAAGGCUUGAUGACUCACUUGCUGGCUUUCUCACUUCCCCGCCUCCAUCCUGGAGGAUGCAGUGUUUUGCUGAGUGUUAUCUGCACUGAGGUUGGUGGAGGCAGAUGAAUGCAGCGGUUUUUUGUCUGCAGAAAGAAGGCUUCAACAGAGGGAUGGGGUCAUUAACACUUCAACUUUAUCCAGGAGGAAUCAAGAUAUCACAUGGCCAUCUGAGAAGAGCUCUAAAUUGUGAUGUUCAGCCUGUGUGAUGUUUAGAUUCAAGCCAAAUUAAUUUUAGAAAAGCGCUGUGUUGAGACAGUGCAUCAAAUUCUUCACAAAUGAGACGAAAUAUUGCCUCCACUGUAUUCUCACAACCACUCAUUUUGUAGACUGAUAAAAAAUCUCUCCAUCUACAUGUUUUUUAUAGUCCUGUGGGUAAACAUUCAUUAUUCCCUCAUCCUUCAGACAGUCAGAGAUUUAUGUCACGUCCUGCCUUUUCCCUCACUGUAUUUGGGACCAGAGUCAGCGUUGCCAGGUAAAAAUUUCCAUCGCUCUGCCUUCCAUUUCCUGACCUCUUUCCCAAGAACCCAGCUAUCUCCCUGGUUUUCCAUCACUUAUAAAAGGUCACCACUGUUGCUUCUUUUCCUCUUUCAACAAUCUGGAAGACGUGCUAUUCUUGCUUAACACAUCCAAUCAUUUUCUUGGAAUUAUCUUUUCUUCAUCUUUAGCUGUUUUUGCUUUGCUGUGUACUCUAGAUGCCUACACAGGGAGACGUGACUGCUUCUUGCAGGCAGCACGGGAAGCCAAGGUCUAAGCGGGCAGGAGAUGUGGGUGGCUUGAAUCAUUCUUGACAUGACACCCAUCCCAGCAGUCUUUGUGAGCAGGCUUGGCACCUCCAGUCCACCCAUGCCCAAGACCUCAAUUGGUUCCUGAAGUUACCCAGACACUUUCUAAGCUGUGCAUUUUGUGGCUACCCCCUUUGGCCUGGCCCAGAUGAUUUCAGGCAGAAGACAUAUACACCUCCUGGCUCUCAUACUCCAGAGAUACACCUGUCUCUCUAAUACUUCCCAGGCUGGCAUUUGGCAAACCUUUCACCUCCCUGAAACUGCUCUGUAGUAUCAAUCAGCGUUCUGUUGUUAUUUUUCACUCCACCACCUUUCCUUUUCCCUUGCAAAUCUGUCUUGACUCAUACUUUUUGCUUACUUUAUCCUUUUCCAUUUCCACAAGUAGUUAUUUUUCUUCUUGGAGCUGCAUAUUCCUGGGGAAGGGCAGGGAUGCAAGCCGGCUGUUGUAAGCGCUCCAAAAACACGCAGGGGAGUUGCGAACCAUGAGCAAAGACCUUGCUGGGAUACAUGUAGGGUAUCCAACAUGCUCUUAGGCUCCUUCCAUUUUGAGGACUGCAAUGCUUCUUUUGACAAAAAGGGAACUUGCCUUCCUCCAGCACACAGAGUGGAUUCUAUCUGGAUUGGGUAAUUUGAGGUGCCCAUGCUGAAGGACAUGGUGACUUCGGUCACUCUUCUGUCCCUCUUCUCCUCAUUCUCAGCUAUGUGGAGAGGUCCCUAAGCCCCUCAGUCAGUCUAUGCAUGUGGCAGCAGGUUGGCAAAGUAGCAGGGAUGGCACUCAGGCAGCCCACAAGCCUCUGAGCUCUGGCUGCCAAAUCCACAUGGAUGACUGCUCAUAAGCAUGAAUCUAUCCCAAGCCUUCAGCAGUCACAGGGCUUUUGUCUCCCUCCUCUUCCCAAGAAGCAGAUUGCAAAAUCACCAAGCCACAGAAACAAGCAGCAUCUGAAUGGGCUCAGGAACCAGUCCAUGCCCAUAUGCGGCUCCUGGGAAACAGCUUCCUAUGGAGCGGGAGAAGCUGAGCGUGCUGAGAAGUGAAGCCACCUGCUGAGUAUGUAGCUAUCCUGUUUUCCCAGAGAACAGAAAUGCUUCUCUGUAACAUGCUGAUAACUCCUGGAUCUAUUGGGGGAAAAAAAAAGCCACCUCUCAACAUCAGUAGUUGCAUCUUGCUCCUGGAUCUCCAUGGCCCUUCUACUGUAAGAGCAUUAGCAACCUUGCCCCAUCUCAACUCUCCCUACACCAUUUCUCCCAGCCUGCCAGCCUUCUGGCUCCAAAAGCAUCACUCCUUGCUCCCAUACAUGCAGACCCAGUGAAGAUGGCACAGGAACAGCUGAGAUGGCGCCAUCCUUUGUGUCACCCUUCAGCAAACAGCUGCUAUCUCCCAUCCUCUCAUGGUAACCCUUAAGGUCAGGCUCUGGACAGGACAGAUGAGGCCCUUUGGGUGGAUUUACUGCUGGAGCAACAUCUGGAGAAGAAAAAUGCAACUUGAGAUCUCCUUAAAUGCCCUGUCUUGACAGAUGAUGCUUAUUCUUUCAUCAAAUAUUAUUUUUUGGUUUGGAAAAUUCAUCCCUGUUCACGGAAGCAGUGAGUCCUGCUUAUUUUCCACUUGACACUGAGCAUUGAAGAGGGUCUUAAGUAGAACAUCCAGCCAUGGCUGGGAGGUGAUCGUGAUAAAUAUGUACAUCCUUCCCCAAGCCCUACCCUUCCCAUAACUGCUGCCAGUGUUUCCACCUACUUAGUACAAAUACAGGAACAGACACAACAGGAAGUGGUUCUCUAGGAUAAAACAGGCUUUUGAGGACUUCAGAAGCUGAGACUGGGCACAAACUCUCCCUGGGGAGCACUGGGAUGGGGCCCGGCAUUCGGCAUGUGCCCGUUUCAUGGCAAGUGACUCAUCACAGCAGUGUGUCUGCUGAUUUUCAUAUCAUCAGGAAUGGCAAACAAAAGGAUGCUCUGAUUUCCCAGGGGUCAAAUAUCACUCCUGAUGGAAAGCUUGCAAAGAUGUAGGAAUGCAAAUGGUGGAGAGGAUUGAUUCCACACCAUCUAUGUUUCUUCCCUUUAUCCUCCCACCUGAAGAGACACCUGUGCAGGGUGCAGAGCUGCUGAGAUGGUCUGCAGCUGGCUUACUGAUACUGGGAAGAGGAAAAGGGAGCUAGCAUCUUCUCCAUGUGGCCUGUGGCUGGUCACUUGACAGGAAACAGGGAGAGUCCAGCAACCUCUCUGAAAAAGACAUCUUUUUGCAUAGAUCAAAGCAUAGGACUAUUUCCAGGGUGAGAAAAUAAAUAGAAAGCGUGAGAUAUGUUAGCUCAUUUAGAAAAGAGGCAGAAGGAGAAUGUGCUUCUCAGGCAUGGCCAGAAAGCCAAGGAGUUGGGCUCACAGAGGUGGAACGACAGAUCACAGCAACAUUUCCACGACUGCUCAGAGACAGAGAUGAGGGUUUAAUUAUUCUCAGAUACAACAGAAAGAGGUUAAAAACAUUUGUUUGUGAAUCCAGAGAAUAAUUAAGAGUGAGUCACGGAAAGUGUUGUUCCAGCUAUGGUAAAAACAAGCCAGCGCUGAAGGGUCUGCUGGUCAUUUGAAAGCAUCGAGAGCUUCAGCCCAAGAUUCCUUUCUUAAUUGCACCACUUUUGGGCACUUGCUUUAAAUUAAGCGGACUGGAGCACAAGGGAGCUAAUGCAGUGCUCUGAAAGGCAAACUAUUAAGCAAAGUGUCUCUUAGAUGUUUAACUUCAAGGAGGCACAAUUGAAAUCUCAUCAAUUAUGAUCAACGGACAUGAGAAGGGUUUAAAGUUCAUCCGUAACGUAAUUUGCAGAAUAACAGAAAUUAAAGAUGCAAAAUCUCUUUUAGGUUGAGUCUACUUCAGUCCCCAGAGAGAGCUAGAUGUGUUUCUGAAUCAUGCUUCCCACAGUGCUGCAUGCAUGCAACAAAUGCAACACAAGAAAACUUUCCCCGAUGCACAUUUAUGACUCAGAGGAUGUUGCUAUUGAAUAAUUAAGCUUACAGACACGAGUCCUUUCUGUGCUGCCCCAGGCAUGUUCCCUGCCUUUGUCAUCAUUUUCAGUUUUCUCUUUCCAAAGCACACCAAGCUACUCUCACAGCUCUUCUCCUGGAUUGCAAACAGCUCUCUGCUGUCCCUGGCAUCCUCCUCCGUGAAACUUUUCGCCCAAGUCCCCUGCCCUCAGCAGUCAAUGUGAACAAUGAGCUUAAGGGAAGACCGUGACAUUCCCAACUGAAAAACAAGAUUGAGUCCUUCACUUCCCACUGUGCUGCUGACAGUAAUACUACUUAGCACUCUUACCCUAUGACGCAUUACCCAAACAUUAGCUAAUUAUCCUGCCUGACUCCUUAGAAAGUAGGCAAUUAAGCAGUUAGCUCCACUCUCCAGAUAGGGAAACCUGGGCAGAAAAUGUGGUUAACAGGGGAAAGGCCAACCCUAUAGUGUAGGAUGGUGAGUAUCCCUGCAGACCAGGGGAGGGAUGUCAAGCAUGGUGCUUAUCUUGCUUAUCUCAGUUGCUUGCAAUACUGAUGAGCUUCUUCUAGAGUGGGCAUAAGAACAGCAACAUCUUGGUACAGGGAUUCAUCCUCACCAAAACCGUGUCCCAUUGUGGAAGGCUGGAAUAUUCUAGAAGAAGCACCCAAGGAGUCCACUUUCUCCAUACUGCUGAAGGCAAGAGGAGGAUCCUCGUUGGUACAGGUGCCCCGAGCAGGUUGUGCAAGUCCUCUCCAAACCAUAUACAGCAAAGUUGCUGAGAUCAGUGCUUGAGAACUCCUGAAUCCUGGAAAUACUCAGCUGGUGUCAUUGCAGCUGACUUUGAGGAACAUUUUGGAGCACCCAAUGCCAGAGCACCACAACUCCCACAGCGCAAAAAGCAGGCUACAAACUCUGUCCCUCCACACAGCUGGAGACCUGUUCUCUACCAGCCAUGAAUUGCGGCUAUGUUUGGAGGGAUACAGAUGCUGAAACAAACUAUUUUUAAUGCAGAGAGUUGAUGUUUAACAGAGAGGUCUUUAGAAUAAAGCAGCAGAAGGAGUCCAAGCCUAAUAACAAGAGCUCUAGCCAUUGUGACUAACUACUCCAUAAAAUGUGUAAUUACAGCACUAUAGCAACUAUUGAAUUCCAAGGCACAUUUUGCAUCUGAAACAUAGGACGAAGCAUCCUCCCUGGGUGAUUCAGAGCAAUAAUCACAAUGCCCAAGCGCUUCACUUGGAAGGAGGAGAAGCACUGAAGCACGAGAUGAGCAGAGUGCAAUGGCUGUGCAAGCAUGUCACUGUGAGAGCACUGUGCACAGGAUGCAUGCACCUGCCAGAGGAAGAAUAAGCAUUUUAAAUUAAUUUUAGCUGGGAUUAUCUCAUCUGCUUCCUAAGAGCGCUCGCUGCCUUUGUGGAGGGGAGCACAAUGUCGGCUGCAUCACACCAGAGUCAACAACACAGCGGUGACAUUUGAGAGGUGCCUUUUACUGAAGCUCACUGAAUGCCCACCUAAGCAGCUCUUCCUGCCCUCGAGCACCUUAUUUCAGUUCGUGCAGGGCUGAGUGCACAAGGGCACCAAGAUCCUCUUUCCCCACUGCAGUUCAGAGCCACUCACAUCCCCUUAAAUGGCACUUCCUGGCUCAGAUACACUCUCCUCCAUUGUCUGGGGCAUGUUUGCAGCUGGAGACUGAUGAAUGAAGCUGAGUUACUGACCUUGAUGUAAAAAAACCCCAAAAAACAAAAAAAACCAAAAACAUCAUAGAAGUGUGUUUGUGCUUUGUAAAACAAGCCUUUUAAAGCUGGCAUUUAUGCAAAGAAAAAUGCCAAUAUGCAUAUGGAAGCUCUGGUAUUUAAGGCCCUUUUCAACCUUCCAGAUUGCCAGCAAGCUUUCACUGAUUCAAGCCUUUAACCAAUGAACAGGUGCUCUAAGAGCUGGUGAAGAGUUCUUAGACAGGUAUUUAAGUGAAUGGCCUAGGAGCAGAUGCUUGGAUCAGAGUCUACACAACUAGACCUAUUUUCUUAUGCUGAAAGAAGUACUGUUUCACUGUGCUAUAAGGAGGUACAGAUGAUCCCUUGCUCCAAAUGGAUGAGAGCAAGGGACAAAUUACAUAACCUGUCUUUGAGGCCUGCUCUCACCCCUCUUUUUAUACAGAAAUUCAUUCAGGCUCUGCAGAAAAUGCAUUUCAAACAGCUUCACCACAAUUUUUUCCCCAUUCACGUUAACAAAAUGAGAUAAUAAUUAGUGAGGCCACUUUGGGGAAUUUUUUGGAAUUGCUCUGGUCCUGCUCUGGUCCAUAGGCUAAUGGUGUUUUUCUUUGAAGACCCUAUGGGAGGUCUUGGAAGAUACUCUCCAGCUGGAGCGUUGUGUAGGCAGGCAGGUUUAUUUCCCCAGCACAGAGCACUGAGUUAAAGCCAGGGCUUCAUUUUGCAGAGGGAGCUCACUUAGGUGAGCAAGCAUUGCCAAAAUCUGUUGUGACAAUACCCGAUCAAGCCAGUGCUCUGAUUCUGCUCAGAAAACAAUAGGCGCUUACACAACUACAACCCACUGGAGGUUUUUGACUUGCUGAGCAACAAGACCCCAAAUGUUAUAGCUCUGCCUCAUGUCCUUGGCUCUGUCCUGCUUUGGAAGAGAACAUGCUGUGGCCUGCACUGCCAAUGCUAUUUCCUCUCACUUGUCUUUAAAGGUCUCUUUUUCCAACAGCUGAUCGGCUCUGCAGCUCCGGAGUGUACGUGAGAUCCGGCUGGCCCACGGUCUAGCUGGUAUGGCUGCGUGCCAUGUUGUUGUUUGUAUUGCUUUCAUUUUUUUGGCGUUACUUGGCUCUUCCAGGCAACUUGUUUUCAUCCUGAACUAUGUGCUCAUUACAUAUCCAAACACCCACGCAGGUUUUGCAUGAGGAAACUCGAAACACACGCGCAGCAGAGAAGCAAAUUUGCAAAGGGGGCAAUGAGGUAUUUGUCUCAAGGCAGACACAAACAAUUGUCAGAUCCCUGAGCUGUCCGUGGUUGGAUUUCAGACCUACUGAUGACAAGCGUGUUAACACUGUGUGCGCAUUCUCCUGGCAGAGAGAUGUAGGGGACAUCUCCUGUGGUCACCUUCAACAACCCCAGCUACCAUUCCUGGCACACAUUCAGGGACCUCCUACCUGUGCCCCAAAAGUUGAAGGGACCCAUUUUUGCUGCUCUGCUCCCCUUCAUGGCCCCAUCUCCACUCCAGCCAACUGCUGCCUGCAGUGAUUUACCAGCCCCCAGCCAGCUCAGGUCCUGAAGAUACCUAAAUGCACUGCAGGAUUUCAGCAGGGUCCUAAGAGAUGGGGAUAGAAACAUGCCUGCUUGGCAUGAUGGUUGUGUCAUAAGUGUCCUCUUUUUGGGUUCCUCCACAGAGCAGAGGGUCUGAGUGACUGCUAGAGGUGGUACAGGGCAGCAUCAGUGCCACUGGAUCGCCCAGUUGCACAGAUCCAAUGUUGUAUUAACACAGUAAACUCUCAGAGCUUAGCAGAGCAGGGCUCUGAUACUCAAGUUUUCCGAGUCUCUCCCAUUUUUACAGUCCCACCGUUGCUGCAGUUGAGCUCCAACAGACGUAGUGAGCUCAGCUGGAGGCUUGCAGGCUGUCCUAAUCUGCGGCACGCCGCACUCCUCCCUGCUGUGCCAGGCCCGCUCUGAGCGUGGAAAAACCCUCUCCCAGCUACCGCCAGGAUCUGUGCAGUGCUAGAGAGGCUGAGUCCAAGAAGCUGAGAGACUUGGUUUGUAGCUUGGGAUUGCUCUGCUUUCUCGCAUCCUUCCCUGCUUCCUGUGCUGCAGAUGAAUAAAGAUUUUCCAGGGCUGUCAGUACUGCAUAUUUCACCAGCGUUUGCUUCUUUAGGUCCAAAUUGUGCUAAAAAUAAGCUGGCUUGGCUUUCACAUCUUGAUUCAAGUGGUAACAGGACACCGGGCAGAGAAACUCCUGGGGCUAUGUGCUCUGUGCAGCAGCAAGUAGCGAGCUGAUGGCGUUCCCUCUGCCUCCUCCCUACUGCUGGCAUGGAGCUGGCACUCUCUGCUCAUUGCAAUCUCCAAAAUUUCAUAUUUAGAAGUUAAAGUUUUAUAUGGCAUCGCUCCUCUCUGGCUGCUUGUUAGUGAGGCUCCAAAUGCCAAGGUAGAAUAUUUUCUCCUGGAGGAAGGCAUAUAUUAUUAGUAAGAUCCUCAGUAAACUAUUUCCUUUAAUAUUCUUGUGGUAAAUUGCAGGGAAAAAAAUAAAAAAAAAAUAAAGGCUUUGGGUAAGUGAAAUUUUAAAUGCCACGUUAAGACCUCAGACUUCAAAAAACCUCAUUCGUGCAGCAGCAAAGGUAGAGCUGUGGAAGUUGGUACCUUGCAUGCAAGUUUUUGCUGCACUGCUGCAGUAGAAGCACCAUUCCCUCAGGUCCUGAAAAAGGGUCUUGAGACAAGGCGUUUGCUGCUCCCCCUCACUUUUGAGAUCCUCAGCUGACAUUCAGCCUCCAAGGCUGCUGCAAGAAUGUUUCAUCCGCAGCCAGAUUUUGUUGCAGCAUUCUCACUUGCUUUCCUAAAAUAAAUGGCGAAAAAAAAAUAUCCUUGUGUUAAUUUAAUCUAGCCAGGCAUUUUGCUGUCCUGACUGAUAAUAUCUCUCCAAUCUGUCACUUUCAACUGACAGCUGUUUAUUUGUUGUCGCCUUACUGGUGUUUUUCUUGUUACUUUAGUUUUGUUUUUGUCCCUGGUCUUGAAAUAUCUCUUCUUAUUUCUCAAGCAUCCCAAAACUGCUCCAGGGAUUCCUCAAGUCUUCCCUUCACUUUGGUGGGGGUUCUGGGUGAAACAAUUUAAUUUCUACCAAAAAAAAAAAAAAAAAAAAAAAGCAUACAGUAACCUCAGUCCAAGAAACACAUCAAUAAAUCCCCAAUUUACAUUCUUGGAAAUUACAUGGGUGUUUGGGAUUUCAGGUCCAUUCACGUAGCAGGAAAAAGCACUGAAAAGCAUCAUGGCAUGAAACAGAG